rnacentral:rRNA from 1 species
UGAUGAUUCACAAUAACUGAUCGGAUCGCCACUGUGGCGGCGACAGGUCAUUCAACAUUCUGCCCUAUCAGCUUUCGAUGGUUGUGUAGUGGACAACCAUGGCCAUAACGGGUAACGGAGAAUCAGGGUUCGAUUCCGGAGAAGGAGCUUGAGAAUUGGCUACUACAUCUAAGGAAGGCAGCAGGCGCGCAAAUUACCCAAUCCCGAUUCGGGGAGGUAGUGACAAAAAAUAACAAUACCGGGCCUUUUUGGGCUUGGUAAUUGGAAUGAGGGAGAGUUAAACGGACCAUCGAGUAUCCAUUGGAGGGCAAGUCUGGUGCCAGCAGCUGCGGUAAUACCAGCUCCAAUAGCGUAUAUUAAAGUUGUUGCAGUUAAAAAGCUCGUAGUUGGACUUGUGUGCGCUGUCCGCGGGUGGCCUGCGCCCAAAAGGGCGUUUCGGUUCGGCCCCGGUGGCGCCUUGAAAUCUGCAGCUGGGGGGACGUUGGCCUUAACUGGUCGGCGACCGCACGCCGGCUGCUCGGUUACUGUGAGAAAAUUAGAGUGUUCAAGGCAGGCAUUGGGUGCAAUUGAAUACAUUAGCAUGGAAUAAUAAAAUAUGGCUCCUGCCGUAUUUUGUUGGUUUUGACUGGUGGGAGUAAUGAUUGAUAGGGACGGUUGGGGGUGCUAGUAUUGAGCGGCCAGAGGUGAAAUUCAUGGAUUCGCUCAAGACUAACUUAUGCGAAAGCAUUCACCAAGGACGUCCUCUUUAAUCAAGAACGAAAGUUGGGGGAUCGAAGACGAUCAGAUACCGUCGUAGUCUCAACCAUAAACUAUGUCGACUUGGGAUCGGCGGUAGUUUUUUCAUUAAGACACUGUCGGGACCACGGGAGAAAUCAAAGUGUCUGGACUCUGGGGGAAGUAUGGUCGCAAGGCUGAAACUUGAAGGAAUUGACGGAAGGGCACCACCAGGAGUGGAGCCUGCGGCUUAAUUUGACCCAACACGGGGAAACUUACCAGGUCCAGAGAUGUAGAGGAUUGACAGAUUGAAGCUCUUUCUUGAUCACUUCGGUGGUGGUGCAUGGCCGUUCUUAGUUGGUGGAGUGAUUUGUCUGGUUAAUUCCGUUAACGAACGAGACCUCAGCCUGCUAGUGUAGUCGGCUGGAUUGCCUUUGGCGAUCCGUGAUUUCGACUUCUUAGAGGGACAAUCGACGCGCAGUCGAUGGAAGUUUGAGGCAAUAACAGGU